UACGUAGGCAGCAAGCGUUGUUCGGAAUUACUGGGCGUAAAGCGUGCGCAGGCGGUUUUGUAAGUUUGUCGUGAAAGCCCCGGGCUCAACCUGGGAAUUGCGAUGAAGACUGCAAGGCUUGAAUCUGGCAGAGGGGGGUAGAAUUCCACGUGUAGCAGUGAAAUGCGUAGAGAUGUGGGAGGAACACCGAUGGCGAAGGCAGCCCCCUGGGUCAAGAUUGACGCUCAUGCACGAAAGCGUGGGGAGCAAACAGG
rnacentral:rRNA from 1 species